AUUGAACGCUGGCGGCAGGCUUAACACAUGCAAGUCGAGCGGGGAAGAGUAGCUUGCUACUUAACCUAGCGGCGGACGGGUGAGUAAUGCUUAGGAAUCUGCCUAUUAGUGGGGGACAACAUCUCGAAAGGGAUGCUAAUACCGCAUACGUCCUACGGGAGAAAGCAGGGGACCUUCGGGCCUUGCGCUAAUAGAUGAGCCUAAGUCGGAUUAGCUAGUUGGUGGGGUAAAGGCCUACCAAGGCGACGAUCUGUAGCGGGUCUGAGAGGAUGGUCCGCCACACUGGGACUGAGACACGGCCCAGACUCCUACGGGAGGCAGCAGUGGGGAAUAUUGGACAAUGGGGGGAACCCUGAUCCAGCCAUACCGCGUGUGUGAAGAAGGCCUUAUGGUUGUAAAGCACUUUAAGCGAGGAGGAGGCUACCGAGAUUAAUACUCUUGGAUAGUGGACGUUACUCGCAGAAUAGGCACCGGCUAACUCUGUGCCAGCAGCCGCAGUAAAAC
rnacentral:rRNA from 1 species